UACGUAGGGGGCAAGCGUUGUCCGGAUUUAUUGGGCGUAAAGAGCGUGUAGGCGGCCAGGUAGGUCAGCUGUGAAAACUCGAGGCUCAACCUCGAGACGUCGGUUGAAACCACCUGGCUAGAGUCCGGAAGAGGAGAGUGGAAUUCCUGGUGUAGCGGUGAAAUGCGCAGAUAUCAGGAGGAACACCGAUGGCGAAGGCAGGUCUCUGGGCCAUAACUGACGCUGAGAAGCGAAAGCAUGGGGAGCGAACAGG
rnacentral:rRNA from 1 species